CCUACGGGUGGCAGCAGUGAGGAAUAUUGGUCAAUGGGCGCGAGCCUGAACCAGCCAAGUAGCGUGAAGGAUGACUGCCCUACGGGUUGUAAACUUCUUUUAUAAAGGAAUAAAGUGCGGCACGUGUGCCUUUUUGUAUGUACUUUAUGAAUAAGGAUCGGCUAACUCCGUGCCAGCAGCCGCGGUAUACGGAGGAUCCGAGCGUUAUCCGGAUUUAUUGGGUUUAAAGGGGGCGUAGAUGGGUUGUUAAGUCAGUUGUGAAAGUUUGCGGCUCAACCCCGUCCUGCCGUUGAAACUGGGGGCCUUGAGUGGGCGAGAAGAAGGCGGAAUGCGUGGUGUAGCGGUGAAAUGCAUAGAUAUCACGCAGAACCCCGAUUGCGAAGGCAGCCUGCCGGAGCCCGACUGACGCUGAGGCACGAAAGUGCGGGGAUCGAACAGGAUUAGAUACCCCUGUAGUC
rnacentral:rRNA from 1 species